rnacentral:rRNA from 1 species
UACAGAGGGGGCGAGCGUUGUUCGGAAUUACUGGGCGUAAAGGGCGCGUAGGCGGCCAACUAAGUCGGACGUGAAAUCCCCAGGCUCAACUUGGGAACUGCGUCCGAUACUGGAUGGCUUGAAUCCGGGAGAGGGAUGCGGAAUUCCAGGUGUAGCGGUGAAAUGCGUAGAUAUCUGGAGGAACACCGGUGGCGAAGGCGGCAUCCUGGACCGGUAUUGACGCUGAGGCGCGAAAGCCAGGGGAGCAAACGGG